rnacentral:rRNA from 1 species
UCCUUCUUUUUCUCUCUUUUUCCUUCUUUCCUUUUCUUCCCUUUCCCUCAUUCUUUUCAUCUCUUUUCUCUUUACAGCGGAGGGCUUAACUCUCCGAGGAUGCGAAAGACGGCGGCACUUGAGGGCCAGAGAGGGACACGGAAUUCCGGGUGGAGUGGUGAAAUGCGUAGAGAUCCGGAGGAACACCGAAGGCGAAGGCAGUGUCCUGGCUGGUGACUGACGCUGAGGUGCGAAAGCUAGGGGAGCGAACGGG